UGUCGCUGUCCUUUGAAGGGUCGUGCACGCCUCGGUGCUUUCACACACAAUCCAUCUCACCCCUUUUGUGCAUCACCGCGUGGGGGCCCCUUUUAGCUAGUUCUGAAGGGGGCUUUCACGUUUUUACAAACAUACCCUUUUAAUGCAAUAUGUAGAAUGUCUUACUUUUUGCGAUGACACGCAAUCAAUACAACUUUCAACAACGGAUCUCUUGGCUCUCGCAUCGAUGAAGAACGCAGCGAAAUGCGAUACGUAAUGUGAAUUGCAGAAUUCAGUGAAUCAUCGAAUCUUUGAACGCACCUUGCGCCCUUUGGCAUUCCGAAGGGCACACCCGUUUGAGUGUCGUGACAUCCUCAAACCUUCUUGGUUUCUUGACUGAGAAGGCUUUGGACUUUGGAGGCUUUUGCUGGACCUUCCCUCAUUGAAGCCAGCUCCUCUUAAAUGAAUUAGUGGGGUCUGCUUUGCCGAUCCUUGACGUGAUAAGAUGCUUCUACGUCUUGGGUUUUGCACAGUUUGCUCUAGAUCCUGCUUAUAACCGUCUCAUAGAAGACAAAUGGUCGACUUGACCUACAAACCUUGACCUCAAAUCGGGUGAGACUACCCGCUGAACUUAAGCAUUC
rnacentral:rRNA from 1 species